rnacentral:rRNA from 1 species
AUUGAACGCUGGCGGCAGGCCUAACACAUGCAAGUCGAGCGAGUGGCGGACGGGUGAGUAAUGUCUGGGAAACUGCCCGAUGGAGGGGGAUAACUACUGGAAACGGUCGCUAAUACCGCAUACCAUCGGAUGUGCCCAGAUGGGAUUAGCUAGUAGGUGGGGUAAAGGCUAACCUAGGCGACGAUCCCUAGCUGGUCUGAGAGGGUGACCAGCCACGCUGGAACUGAGGCACGGUCCAGACUCCUACUGGAGGCAGCAGUGGGGAAUAUUGCACAAUGGGGGCAAGCCUGAUGCAGCCAUGCCGCGUGUAUGAAGAAGGCCUUCGGGUUGUAAAGUACUUUCUGCGGGGAGGCGUUACCCGCAGAAGAAGCACCGGCUAACUCCGUGCCAGCAGCCGCGGUAAUUC